rnacentral:RNase_P_RNA from 2 species
GAUGUGCAAUUUUUGGAUAAUCGCGUGAGGAGAAUUGCUUCUCAUGAGGAAAGUCCAUGCUAGCACAGGCUGUGAUGCCUGUAGUGUUUGUGCUAGGCGAAACCAUAAGCCUAGGGACGAGAAAUCGUUACGGCAGUUGAAAUGGCUAAGUCCUUGGAUAGGCCAGAGUAGGCUUGAAAGUGCCACAGUGACGGAGUCUUUCUGGAAACAGAGAGAGUGGAACGCGGUAAACCCCUCAAGCUAGCAACCCAAAUUUUGGUCGGGGCAUGGAGUACGCGGAAACGAACGUAGUAUUCUGACUGCUAUCAGCUAGAGCUGUUAGUGGUAGACAGAUGAUUAUCGAAGGAAGUGGUCCUAGUCACUUCUGGAACAAAACAUGGCUUAUAGAAAAUUGCAUAUAGGUU